rnacentral:rRNA from 1 species
AUACGUAUGGUGCAAGCGUUGUUGGGAAUCACUGGGCAUAAAGCGCGCGUAGGCGGUGGCAUCAGUCAUCCGAGAAAUCCCUCGGCUCAACCGAGGAACUGCGGCUGAUACUGUGUCACUAGAGUACGGGAGGGGAGAGUGGAAUUCCUGGUGGAGCGGUGAAAUGCGUAGAUAUCAGGAGGAACGCCGGGGGCGAAAGCGACUCUCUGGCCCGAAACUGACGCUGAGGUGCGAAAGCUAGGGGAGCAAACAGGAUUAGAUACCCCUGUAGUCC